rnacentral:piRNA from 2 species
UCCGAAAUGUCAAAGGCCCCGUUCGA